GGCGUAAUGAUGGCCAGGCUGUCUCCACCCGAGACUCAGUGAAAUUGAACUCGCUGUGAAGAUGCAGUGUACCCGCGGCAAGACGGAAAGACCCCGUGAACCUUUACUAUAGCUUGACACUGAACAUUGAGCCUUGAUGUGUAGGAUAGGUGGGAGGCUUUGAAGCGUGGACGCCAGUCUGCGUGGAGCCAACCUUGAAAUACCACCCUUUAAUGUUUGAUGUUCUAACGUUGGCCCCUGACCGGGGUUGCGGACAGUGUCUGGUGGGUAGUUUGACUGGGGCGGUCUCCUCCCAAAGCGUAACGGAGGAGCACGAAGGUUAGCUAAUCCUGGUCGGACAUCAGGAGGUUAGUGCAAUGGCAUAAGCUAGCUUGACUGCGAGCGUGACGGCGCGAGCAGGUGCGAAAGCAGGUCAUAGUGAUCCGGUGGUUCUGAAUGGAAGGGCCAUCGCUCAACGGAUAAAAGGUACUCCGGGGAUAACAGGCUGAUACCGCCCAAGAGUUCAUAUCGACGGCGGUGUUUGGCACCUCGAUGUCGGCUCAUCACAUCCUGGGGCUGAAGUAGGUCCCAAGGGUAUGGCUGUUCGCCAUUUAAAGUGGUACGCGAGCUGGGUUUAGAACGUCGUGAGACAGUUCGGUCCCUAUCUGCCGUGGGCGCUGGAGAAUUGAGGGGGGCUGCUCCUAGUACGAGAGGACCGGAGUGGACGCAUCACUGGUGUUCGGGUUGUCAUGCCAAUGGCACUGCCCGGUAGCUAAAUGCGGAAGAGAUAAGUGCUGAAAGCAUCUAAGCACGAAACUUGCCCCGAGAUGAGUUCUCCCUGAGACU
rnacentral:rRNA from 1 species